rnacentral:tRNA from 1 species
GGUCUCGUGGUGAAAUGGAUAUCACAUUAGUCUUCGGAACUAAGAUUCUAGGUUCAAAUCCUAGCGAGACUGCCA